AGCUUUCUGUAUCCAUGCUGAGAUUUCAUCACGCACCAAACCACAAGGGCUGAUCAGACAUCUAUGACAAGUAAAGCG
rnacentral:pre_miRNA from 1 species